UUGGUGUGUGUCUGGUCGCAGGAAAACACAGGGGCGACCUAAGUUCAUCUUCAAAACCCUAAACUCUCACAAAUCUCUAAAAUUGAAGGUCAAGAUCAACUCCAAAACGAAAUCCGAGCCUAGAUUGGUGAUCUCCAUUGCAAGGGGGUCAUAAGUUUGACUCUAAACAAGCUAGGUGAGGGCUUGGAGAGGAACGGGUCAAACGGAUCAUGGAUGUGAAGAAUAUUUGCGCGGACGCAAGGAGUGAACGGGAAGUGGAUAAUUGCGUAGCUAUUAAGUAGCGGCUAAAUAAAGUAAGGUAUAAAACGGGUCUAUACGUUGACCCGAGCCAGGUACGCAUAAAGUAAGUUUAUAGUUAAAAGUGCAAUUUGGUCAAAUAAUUAGUGAAAGUCCUUCGUCGUAAAGUGAGGGACUAAAAUUGACCAAAAAGCCCUUGAUGGGAAAACCGGGCAAACGACCCUUAGAGGUUGUUUAGGAAUUUGCAUUAAGAUUACGAAAUAUAGGUAGAUACCUUAAUGUAGUAAAAUGAUGGGUGAAAGAAGAGAGUGAAAUUUAAAGUUAAUGGUAAAUCUCUCUAACGGGUCAAAAUGAAGUUUCACGCAUAACUCAACUUUUAGUUGCAUAAUGUAUGAAAGUUUUGAACAAACGAGUUAAUGGUUUUGAGAUAAUGAAUAUCUCAAGAAUUUACAGUGAUUUAAACGAAAGUGGUUUAAUGAAUCAUGAAACGGGUCAAAAGUGCUAAAAAAGGAAUUUCAAGCCAAGAACUUGAAAUUUGGAUUUUUUAAGUAGUUGAAUAUCAGGUUUUAACUCCAUAAGAUGGAGAAUUAAAUUACAAAUGCGUAGGAAAAAGAAUCGUGUAAAACGGAUAAGUAGUUAAAAAGUUAUAGCAUUUUGAAGUUGGAAUCUAGUUAAAUACUAGAGCUGGGCAAAAAUGCAGGUUUCAGUAACGAAUCUGCUGGAAAUUGGUCUUUCUCGCGCCACGCGACGGGUCACAGGGUUUGGGUCGCGAUACGCGACAGACAUCGCGCCACGCGACAAGCUGAGCAGAGUCUCUCGCGACACGCGAGAGACAUAAAAACUGGAAAAAUAUUUUUGUUAUGUUUGUUUGAUGCGUAGAACUUGUUUAAACUUAUUUUAAGCUAUCAAAACUAACUUUUAUGUUGGUUUUGAAUUUAGGUGAACCUAGUAAGCAUCCGGAUGAAGAUCAAGCUUGGAUAAGAACCGAACACAUGAUCAAACAAGCUUCCGCGUUAAUCUAAUACGUUUUUGUUUUAAGUGUACUAUGUAAAACAAUUAGUACUAUAUUUGAAUACUAUU
rnacentral:lncRNA from 1 species